rnacentral:rRNA from 1 species
AUUGAACGCUGGCGGCAGGCCUAACACAUGCAAGUCGAGCGGAGCGGCGGACGGGUGAGUAAUGCCUAGGAAACUGCCUGGUAGUGGGGGAUAACGUCCGGAAACGGGCGCUAAUACCGUAUAAUAUCAAUUGAGCUUAGGUCGGAUUAGCUAGUUGGUGGUGUAAAGGCCUACCAAGGCGACGAUCCGUAACUGGUCCGAGAGGAUGCUCAGUCACACUUGAACCGAGAUACGGUCCGGACUCCGACGGGAGGAAGCAGUGGGGAAUAGUGGACAAUGGGCGAAAGCCAGAUCCAGCCAUGCCGCGUGUGUGAAGAAGGUCUUCGGAUUGUAAAGCACUUUAAGUUGGGAGGCGUUACCAACAGAAUAAGCACCGGCUAACUUCGUGCCAGCAGCCGCGGUAAUUC